rnacentral:lncRNA from 1 species
GUGUACUGAAGCGGUGUGUAAUAUUGAAAGUUGAUGUUUUUACAGGUCUCUCUGCUGCCACCAGAAAAUCAUAAUGAUGACCACUCUGAGUGACGGGACAAAACUAGACCUCUCCAGACUGACCGAUGAGGAGGCCCGGCAUGUGUAUCAGGUGGUCCAGAGGGAUUUCAGCCUCCGCAAAAAAGAAGAGGAGAGACUGGGAGAUCUGAAGACUAAAAUUGUGAAAGAAGACAGUAAGAGAGAGCUGCUGGGCUACCAGUCCACCCUCAGCGACUCACUCUGUAUACACUGCUUACGACCAUUCAAGUUCCUGCUCAACACUAAACACCAGUGCCUGGACUGUAAGUUCUUUGUGUGUAAGGCCUGCAGCCGCUUCAACAAGAAGGAUAACGGCUGGGUGUGUGAUCCGUGCCAAUCAGCCAGACUUUUGAAAAUCGGAACGCUAGAAUGGUUCCAUGAAAAUGUACGUUCUCGAUUCAAGCGUUUCGGCAGUGCCAAAGUGAUGAAGUCGCUCUACAAGAGGCUUAGUGAAGAACGAACCUUUUCCCAACCAGACCUGAGAGAGGAUGACACCUACUGCCUGCCUGAUGUUCACAGACACUCUCUCUGCAGUCAGGAGGAUGAGCAGUCUGAUCACGUGGGCCGGGAUCACUACAGACUGAACAAGAAAGGCAAGCGGCUGCUCCUAGUCGACCCUCAGGACUUCAAACUUGGGACUGAUCACUCCAUCCACCCUUAUCGCCAUUCUUUUAAGAAUGAGCGGCCUGAUCCAGAGGAGGACUGGACUACCGUGUGUAGGCAGAUCCUUGAGCGUAGACGAGAUGGACUGGAGGAGAGGAAGAAGGGGAUUCACCACAGCAGCCGAAGCCUCGAUAAACCUUUCCACUUUGAUGACUGCACUUACCCUGAGAAUAAGAUGGUACGUGCUUGCUCCCUCUCGAAGAUGAGCCAUUCUUCAGCCGGCAGUGCUAAUUAUGGAGCGUUCCGCGAGCUUCCGUACAGCGUGGAGGACUCGGAGGAGGACGAUGCAGACAGUUACCAAAACUACCUGCCUUCUGAGCCACUGAACUGGGAAUACUCUCCAGAUGGGGUUCCACCACAGGUAUCUUGAUUAGUAAUGAGGUUGUUAAAAUGUUACAUUUGAAUAUAACCCAUGCUCUGUUUCCCAGACAAGGCUUAAGUCUAGUCGCAGACUUAAGACUGUUUGAAUGCUGUUUAAUGACUUUAGUUCAGCAUUUAACACCAUCAUCCCUCAACAUCUGAUCGGAAAACUGAGCUUGCUAAGCAUGAACUAUUCAACCACAGUCAGUCAGGAUUGGAAACAACACCUCCAGCAAGAUCAUACUGAGCACCGGCGCUCCCCAGAGCUGUGUGCUCAGUCCACUGCUGUUCACUCUGCUGUUCACUAAAGAACACCAUGUGCAGAGAACCUCACCUGGUUCCUCAACACCAGCUAUAUAGCCAUUCGAGCCUCCAUUACCAGACUCAAACUGUAAGAAACAGACUCCAUGAUGGUGUUAUGAGGGCCUGACGUCCACAGAUGGCUUGUGAUUACAACCCAACACUGUGCAGGACGCUUGGCAUUUGCCAGAGAACACCAGAAAUGGCAGAUUCACCAUUGGCGCCCAGUGCUCUUCACGGAUGAGAGCAGGUUCCCAGUGAGCAAAUGUGACAGACGUGGCAGAGUCUGGAGACGCCAUGGAGAGCGUUCUACUGCUGCAACAUCCUCCAGCGUGACCGGUUUGACAGUGGGUCAGUAAUGGUGUGGGGAGGAAUUUCUUUGGAGGGCCUCCAUGUGCUCGCCAGAGGUACCCUGACUGCCAUUAGGUACCGGGAUGAGAUCCUCAGACCCUCUGUGAGACCAUAUGCUGGUGCAGUGGGUCCUGGGUUCCUUCUGAUGCAGGACAGCGCUAGACCUCAUGUGGCUGAAGUGUGUCAGCAGUU